rnacentral:rRNA from 1 species
GACGAACGCUGGCGGCGGGCUUAACACAUGCAAGUCGAACGGAAAGGCCCUGCUUUUGUGGGGUGCUCGAGUGGCGAACGGGUGAGUAACACGUGAGUAACCUGCCCUGUACGUUGGGAUAACUUCAGGAAACUGGGGCUAAUACCUGAUAGGAGCUCCUGCUGCAGGGUGGGGGUUGGAAAGUUUCGGCGGUUGGGGAUGGACUCGGGGCUUAUCAGCUUGUUGGUGGGGUAGUGGCUUACCAAGGCUUUGACGGGUAGCCGGCCUGAGAGGGUGACCGGCCACAUUGGGCCUGAGAUACGGCGCAGACUCCUACGGGAGGCAGCAGUGGGGAAUAUUGCCCAAUGGGCGGAAGCCUGAUGCAGCAACGCCGCGUGCGGGAUGACGGCCUUCGGGUUGUAAACCGCUUUCGCCUGUGACGAAGCGUGAGUGACGGUAAUGGGUAAAGAAGCACCGGCUAACUACGUG